rnacentral:rRNA from 1 species
GAGUUUGAUCGUGGCUCAGGACGAACGCUGGCGGCGUGCUUAACACAUGCAAGUCGAGCGGUGACCCUCCUUCGGGAGGUGAUCAGCGGCGAACGGGUGAGUAACACGUGGGCAACCUGCCCCUCACACUGGGAUAACCUCGGGAAACCGGGGCUAAUACCGGAUACGACCUCGAGCGGCAUCUCUUGAGGUGGAAAGCUCCGACGGUGAGGGAUGGGCCCGCGGCCUAUCAGCUUGUUGGUGGGGUAAUGGCCUACCAAGGCGACGACGGGUAGCCGGCCUGAGAGGGCGACCGGCCACACUGGGACUGAGACACGGCCCAGACUCCUACGGGAGGCAGCAGUGGGGAAUAUUGCGCAAUGGGCGAAAGCCUGACGCAGCGACGCCGCGUGAGGGAUGAAGGCCUUCGGUUGUAACCGUCUUCAGUCAGGGACUAAGCGAAAGUGACGGUACCGUGCAGAAGAAGACACCGGCUAACUACGUAGCCAGCCGCCGCUGU